GGCCUGAUGGCACGAUGUCAGUGCGUCUGCAUAUAGUAUUCUGCUCCGUUUCUGCAGAUGAUCCUCGUUCGAACCGGGGUCAGGUCA